UCCAUAGAAGGCUGACUAUGAGGAUUCUAGUAUGAAUCAACCUAAUCUCAUGCAUGACUACCCGCUGAACUUAAGCAUAUCAGUAAGCGGAGGAAAAGAAACUAACAAGGAUUCCCUGAGUAACGGCGAGUGAAACGGGAAAAGCCCAGCGUGUAAUCGCUCAGGUCUUACCUGUAGCGAGGUGUCACGUAUAGGCGCGUCUGUCUGGUUUUCGUUGAGGUCCGAAGUGCGUUCGAACGCGUCUUCCCGUAGUGGGUGCUAGGCCCGUACGGAUCUCGACUUGGCCAGUUGGGCGUGUCUUGGAGUAGAGUUGCUUGGAAGUGCAGCUCAAAGUGGGUGGUAUACCACAUCUAAGGCUAAAUAUGACCAGGAUUUCGAUAGCGAACAAGUACCGUGAGGGAAAGUUGCAAAGAACUUUGAAGAGAGAGUUCAAGAGAAUGUGAAACCACGUGGGGCUAAGCGGAUAGAGUUGACGAAACUGGCAGUGUUCAGUAGUCGUGAUCGGGUUUCGACUCGUGAUCGUCUGCGCAUUCAUUGUCGGUACGUGCUGGGACGUUUGGCGAGCCCUUCUGAAGGCUUCAGAGUCACCCAAGCUUCGGCCUGGUAGUGUUUUGUUGUCGGAAGUUGAUGUGCUUGCUAAGCGUAAUGUUGGCCAGGCCUCUGCGCGUUCGGCUGUUGGUUAGCGCUCUGCUUGGUAGUCGGACAUGUCUGGCUGCCUCGUACGUGUGUUGAUCAGUGGUUGCUCGCCUAUGGUCCAAUCCCGGUAUGUGAAAGUCGACCACCUAUCCGACCCGUCUUGAAACACGGACCAAGAAGUCUAGUAUGUACGCGAGUCAUUGGGUAUCAAAACCUAUUGGCGCAAUAAAUGUGAAGGGCGGCUUGUUCGUCUGAUAUGUGAUCCGUUAGUCUCGGCUGGCGGCGCAACAUAGUCCCAUGCCUACUGCUUGCAGUGGUGUGGAGAUGGAGCGUACACACUAGGACCCGAAAGAUGGUGAACUAUGCCUGAGCAGGACGAAGUCAGAGGAAACUCUGAUGGAAGUCCGAAGCGGUUCUGACGUGCAAAUCGAUCGUCGGACUCGGGUAUAGGGGCGAAAGACUAAUCGAACCAUCUAGUAGCUGGUUCACACCGAAGUUUCCCCCAGGAUAGCUGGCACUUAUGUUUGUUGUAUCUUGUAAAGCUAAUGAUUAGAGGAAUUGGGGACGAAAUGUUCUUAACCUAUUCUCAAACUUUCAAUGGGUAUGAUGUCGCGGUUGCUUAAGUGAACCGUGGCUGCGAAAACGAGUGCCAAGUGGGCCAUUUUUGGUAAGCAGAACUGGCGAUGUGGGAUGAACCAAACGUUGGGAUAAGGUGCCUAACUCUCCGCUCAUGAGACCCCAUAAAGGGUGUUGAUUGAUAUAGACAGCAGGACGGUGGCCAUGGAAGUCGGAAUCCGCUAAGGAGUGUGUAACAACUCACCUGCCGAAUCAAUCAGCCCCGAAAAUGGAUGGCGCUUGAGCGGGGGACCUAAGCCCAACCGUUGUUGGCUUGUACGUUUCGUGCGUCUGGCCUCAACGAGUAGGUGUGUCGCGGUGGUUAGCGUCGAAGGCUUAGGGCGUAGGCCCAGCUGGAGCUUCCAUCGGUGCAGAUCUUGGUGGUAGUAGCAAAUAAUCAAGUGAGAAUCUUGAUGACUGAAGUGGAGAAGGGUUCCACGUGAACAGUAGUUGAAUGUGGGUUAGUCGAUCCUAAGAUACUGGCUAAUGCCUUGUAUCAUUGACGUCGAGCUUCGUGCUUCUCGUCUAAUAUCGAAAGGGAAACGGGUUAACAUUCCCGUACCGGUAAAUGUGAAUUUGUAGGCGCAAGCUUGCAUUGGCGGUAACGCAUUCGAACUUGGCGAUGCCAUGUGUGAUCCGGGCUAGAGAUCUCUUCUCUAGUUAAGGAACGGACUCCCUGGAAACGGUUCAGCCGGAGAUAGGGACGUUGUUUCCGUAUAGCGCCACGGUUUCUGUGGUGUCCCGUGUAUUAUGCAUGGCCCUUGAAAAGCCAAGGGAGCAAUUCAAUUCACAUUACCGAUCGUACCCAUAUCCGCAGCAGGUCUCCAAGGUUCGUAGCCUCUAGUCGAUAGAAUAAUGUAGAUAAGGGAAGUCGGCAAAUUAGAUCCCUACCUUCGGAAUAAGGAUUGGCUCUAAGGACCGGUCUGUACGGGCUUUGCAAUGAAGCUUGGUCGACGGCGCUUUGAUUGGGCUGGGCUUCGGUUCGGUUUGAUCUAAUGGCGUCGUUGCCUUGUGGACUUGCCUAGCUGCGUGCAUGGGUUUCGGCUCAUGUACUUCGUGCGACACUUAACGGUUGACUUAGAACUGGUACGGACUCGGGGAAUCCGACUGUCUAAUUAAAACAGAGGAGAUAGAUGGUCCUUGCGGACGUUGACUAUCUCUGAUUUCUGCCCAGUGCUCUGAAUGUUAACGUGGAGUAAUCUGCUUAAGCGCGGGUAAACGGCGGGAGUAACUAUGACUCUCUUAAGGUAGCCAAAUGCCUCGUCAUCUAAUUAGUGACGCGCAUGAAUGGAUUAACGAGAUUCCCACUGUCCCUAUCUACUAUCUAGCGAAACCACAGCCAAGGGAACGGGCUUGGAAAAAACAGCGGGGAAAGAAGACCCUGUUGAGUUUGACUCUAGUUUGACUCUGUGACGAGUCUUGAGAGACGUAGUAUAAGUGGGAGACUUCGGUCGCAAUUGAAAUACCACUACUUUCAUCGAUUCUUUACUUAUUCGGUAAUGCGAGGAUUGGAGCUCGUUCUCCU
rnacentral:rRNA from 1 species